CACGACUACAUUAGAUACCCCCGUAGUCCCAGCCCUAAACGAUGCGCGUUAGGUGUAUCGGUGACCACGAGUCACCGAGGUGCCGAAGGGAAACCGUGAAACGUGCCGCCUGGGAAGUACGGUCGCAAGGCUGAAACUUAAAGGAAUUGGCGGGGAGCACCACAACGGGUGGAGCCUGCGGUUUAAUUGGACUCAACGCCGGGAAGCUCACCGGAUAAGACAGCGGAAUGAUUGCCGGGCUGAAGACCCUGCAUGACCAGCUG
rnacentral:rRNA from 1 species